GAGUUUGAUCGUGGCUCAGAUUGAACGCUGGCGGCAUGCCUUACACAUGCAAGUCGAACGGCAGCAUGAUCUAGCUUGCUAGAUUGAUGGCGAGUGGCGAACGGGUGAGUAAUACAUCGGAACGUGCCCUGUAGUGGGGGAUAACUAGUCGAAAGAUUAGCUAAUACCGCAUACGACCUGAGGGUGAAAGUGGGGGACCGCAAGGCCUCAUGCUAUAGGAGCGGCCGAUGUCUGAUUAGCUAGUUGGUGGGUAAAGGCCCACCAAGGCGACGAUCAGUAGCUGGUCUGAGAGGACGAUCAGCCACACUGGGACUGAGACACGGCCCAGACUCCUACGGGAGGCAGCAGUGGGGAAUUUUGGACAAUGGGCGAAAGCCUGAUCCAGCAAUGCCGCGUGUGUGAAGAAGGCCUCGGUUGUAA
rnacentral:rRNA from 1 species